GACGAACGCUGGCGGCGUGCUUAACACAUGCAAGUCGAACGGUGAAGCGCCUUCCUUUUUGGUGGGUGUGGAUGAGUGGCGAACGGGUGAGUAACACGUGAGUAACCUGCCCCCUUCUUCUGGAUAACCGCAUGAAAGUGUGGCUAAUACGGGAUAUUCUGGGUCUGUCGCAUGAUGGGUCUGGGAAAGAUAUUGUUUCGGUGGGGGAUGGGCUCGCGGCCUAUCAGCUUGUUGGUGGGGUGAUGGCCUACCAAGGCGGUGACGGGUAGCCGGCCUGAGAGGGUGGACGGUCACACUGGGACUGAGACGCGGCCAAGACUCCUAGGGGCGGCAGCAGUGGGGAAUAUUGCACAAUGGGCGCAAGCCUGAUGCAGCGACGCCGCGUGAGGGAUGGAGGCCUUCGGGUUGUGAACCUCUUUCGCCAGUGAAGCAGGCCUGCCUCGUUUGUGGGUGGGUUGACGGUAGCUGGAUAAGAAGCGCCGGCUAACUACGUG
rnacentral:rRNA from 1 species